AAUACCGACACACACACACGCACACACACACACACACACGCACACACACGCACGCGUGAGUAUGUACAGAAGGAGAAAAUGCGGUGAAUGCGCGCGGAGUGAAGGAGUAAAGGGAAGGAAGAGUGAAGGAGUGAAGAUGGGAUGAAGGGAGGCAGAAGUGGAGGAGUGAAGGGAUGAAGGAGUGAUGGAAUGAAGGGAUGAAGAAGUGGAGGAGUGAAGCGGCUCGAACGCGCGUCGGCUCGCAGUCACUUACUUUUCUGUGUCCUGUGACAUGAUGAUGUCUUUUGGACUCCUCGCCGAUAAUUCCUGGAGAAACUGGACUUUCAGCCCUGAUUCCAUUGGUCGAGGUGUGUAAGGAGGUCGGGCUGUGAUUGGCUGAACCAGCACAGGUGCUUAACCUCACGGGGAAACAUAACACACUCCGAGGAAAGCGCUAUCUGCCUUCUUCCACACACAUGAGCUAACAGAUCAUCACUGUGAUUGACAGGAGAGAGAGAGUAAGCCCCUCCCACCCACAGAGCAGGUCACACCUUUCCCUCUCUCACCUUUUUUAAAGUUGGAGUUAAAGUCACAAGUUCGAAUCCUGAAGAUGUCACAUGGCCGGAAGUCAAGAGAGCGAAACCGGCUGUGUUUUCUGGGUGGGAGGGGCUUACUCUUCCACGCCCCUGUCAAUCACAGCGACACGAGCCAAUCAUAGGCAUCUGUGAGCUGGAGUAUGAGGAAGAGGACGAGAAGAGGAUACUGUAGACAGUGCGUUCCUCCGAGUUUAGAGUUCUUACUCUUUACUUUAUAGAGUUAAUCCACUCUUUUUGUUUAGAAUUUCACAGAUUUAUGAAUUUAAACGUUCACCUAUUUAAAAAUGUUUUGUUUUUCACGCUUUUAAGAAGGUUCCCUCCCGUUUUAAAGUCUUUUUAGAAGUGAUUUCUGCAGAUUUUUAAUCUCUGAUUAACACGGAACACCCACACCACCACCAUUCCCUUAACUCGUCCAAUCACUCGCCUUCGGUAACCACUUUAUCCUGUAUUUAUAAAUAUUUAUCAUACGUGCGGCCAAUUUCAAGACGGCUACCUCAGCGUACUGUUGCACGGCACAAAUACGCAAUAUUUCUAUACUUUUUUAAAAAUAUUUCCCUUUUUCUAAUCGUAGGGAAGUAAUUGUGGUCUGUGUAAACUGUAUUUUAUGUCACGGACAGUCGUAAAAAGCCGUACUGUGUAUGCUUGUGUGUGUGACGGUUGAAGGAUUGAGGUAAAAGUAGAUUUGGGAUCGAGUCGUCAGGGAUCAGCGAUCAGCGACGGGCAGCUCUGAGACCCGACACACACGGGGUUUAUCCUGCGCCGCUCGGCGGGAAGCGAGUUUGAUGUGCAGGUGAGCGAGGCUGAAAGGACAGCGUGAUGUCAUGGAGUUGAUUCCGUUACCGCUUGUGCAACUCGUCGUGAUGUGACUUGCCCUCCACUUAACUGUCAGCGUUAUUUCCCAGAAAUUAGCGAGGGCCGAGUGCCAUUCUCCCACGGUUCUGAGCUGAGAAAGCUUCCACGGAUCAGGCACGGACACGCCGCCAGACCUGACCAGGUAAACCUAACGCCUUCGACACGACACGACCGACACCUCGGGGUUCUACUGAUCCACUCUUAUACCAAACACUGGUCUCCUUUCUCAGCUCUCGAUCAUCCCAUUUACGAUCAGACCCGUUACACCUGCUCCGCUCUCCGUUCUCCGUUCGUUUUUCAGCCAGGUUCCAUAGGAGAACCCUUUUAAGUUGCACAAGGAACCUUUUACUCUCAAGUUCUUUAGAGAACCUUCUAUUUACUGGUGCUUUAAAGAACCCUGUAAAGAUAUUUCUUCACAGCAGUGCCACAAGCAAACAUGUUAUCAGCGGUUCUCUAACAAAACAAAAAAAACCCUUGGUUAGUGCUUUAAGGAACCAAAGUAAGGUUCUUAAGAGUGCUGCCUGAGAGGAGAACCUUUUCCAGUCCCACAAAGAACCCUAUAGAGUAUGGUUCAUGUUAAUGUGUUAAGCGAUGAUACCUUGAAGAUCCAAUACACUGCUCUGAAGAUCCUAUAAUGAAACAUGACGAACCUCUUUAAUCUCCACGGAACCGUACAGCUCAACUCAAGAACCCUGCAGUGAAAAAUGGUUCCUAUGGUGCUGUAAAGACCCAGAGAAGCGCCUUUAUUUUUAAGAGUGUGAGCUAGGUGUGGUGCUAGACAGCUGUUUUAGCUACUUAAUGAAUAUUAAUGAACAUUAUUACACACUCGUUGUAAUACGUUAUCGUUGCUAUAGUAACAGUUCAUUCACAGGAACAGCGGUGUACGGCUGCUAUAACGUAAGAGAGAACAGGAACUCACUUUAAAGGUUAAACUUUAAAGGAAAUCUAAUAGGAAAUUUGUUUUCUGGUCCGGAAUGCUUGUUUGUGUGUAGGUCCUGGGGGCGGAGCUUUGUGAUCAUGGGCGGGAAUAGGUGGGGGUGUGUGUGGUUUCAAGAAGUUUUAAAAAAAAGAUUUCAAACAUUUUAACUAAACGGUUAGAGAGCUAAACUUGUGGUAUAAAAUGGACUAAUCUUACCUAGUACACCUUUAAAUGUAACUAUAAACGGAUAAAAA